ensembl:snRNA U2 U2 spliceosomal RNA
AUUGCUUCUCGGCCUUUUGGCUAAGAUCAAGUGUAGUAUCGAAAAGAAAAACUUGGUUCUCUGGCCAUUAGGUUGCCAAGCGGAAGCUUGAUGAAUGCAGAGGAGCUGUGUUCCCAUAAGGGAGAGUGCCUGACUUAUUUUUAGUCAGGGGCUUUGCACACCAGGCUGCCAGCUGGAGCCUUACCAAGGCAGUCAAUGGCAUUGCACCCGCACAAUUCAGCACCUUUU